GUGCUUGCUUUGGCAGCACAUAUACUGAGUUGAAACAAUACAGAGAAAAUUACGAUGACCCCUGAGUAAAGAGGAUGUACAAAUUCAUGGCAUGUUCCAUAUUUUU